rnacentral:rRNA from 1 species
ACGAACGCUGGCGGCGUGGAUAAGACAUGCAAGUCGAACGGGAGAAUUGCUAGCUUGCUAAUAAUUCUCUAGUGGCGCACGGGUGAGUAACACGUGAGUAACCUGCCUCUUAGUGGGGGAUAGCCCUGGGAAACCGGGAUUAAUACCGCAUACGAUUGAAAGAUCAAAGCAGCAAUGCGCUAGGAGAUGGGCUCGCGGCCUAUUAGUUAGUUGGUGAGGUAACGGCUCACCAAGGCGAUGACGGGUAGCCGGUCUGAGAGGAUGUCCGGCCACACUGGAACUGAGACACGGUCCAGACACCUACGGGUGGCAGCAGUCGAGAAUCAUUCACAAUGGGGGCAACCCUGAUGGUGCGACGCCGCGUGGGGGAAUGAAGGUCUUCGGAUUGUAAACCCCUGUCAUGUGGGAGCAAAUUAAAAAGAUAGUACCACAAGAGGAAGAGACGGCUAACUCUGUGCCAGCAGCCGCGGUAAUACAGAGGUCUCAAGCGUUGUUCGGAAUCACUGGGCGUAAAGCGUGCGUAGGCUGUUUCGUAAGUCGUGUGUGAAAGGCAGGGGCUCAACCCCUGGAUUGCACAUGAUACUGCGAGACUAGAGUAAUGGAGGGGGAACCGGAAUUCUCGGUGUAGCAGUGAAAUGCGUAGAUAUCGAGAGGAACACUCGUGGCGAAGGCGGGUUCCUGGACAUUAACUGACGCUGAGGCACGAAGGCCAGGGGAGCGAAAGGGAUUAGAUACCCCUGUAGUCCUGGCAGUAAACGGUGCACGCUUGGUGUGCGGGGAAUCGACCCCCUGCGUGCCGGAGCUAACGCGUUAAGCGUGCCGCCUGGGGAGUACGGUCGCAAGAUUAAAACUCAAAGAAAUUGACGGGGACCCGCACAAGCGGUGGGGUAUGUGGCUUAAUUCGAUGCAACGCGAAGAACCUUACCUGGGCUUGACAUGUAAUGAACAACAUGUGAAAGCAUGCGACUCUUCGGAGGCGUUACACAGGUGCUGCAUGGCCGUCGUCAGCUCGUGUCGUGAGAUGUUUGGUUAAGUCCAGCAACGAGCGCAACCCCUGUUGCCAGUUACCAGCACGUCAAGGUGGGGACUCUGGCGAGACUGCCCAGAUCAACUGGGAGGAAGGUGGGGACGACGUCAGGUCAGUAUGGCCCUUAUGCCCAGGGCUGCACACGUACUACAAUGCCCAGUACAGAGGGGGCCGAAGCCGCGAGGCGGAGGAAAUCCUGAAAACUGGGCCCAGUUCGGACUGUAGGCUGCAACCCGCCUACACGAAGCCGGAAUCGCUAGUAAUGGCGCAUCAGCUACGGCGCCGUGAAUACGUUCCCGGGUCUUGUACACACCGCCCGUCACAUCAUGGAAGCCGGUCGCACCCGAAGUAUCUGAAGCCAACCGCAAGGAGGCAGGGUCCUAAGGUGAGACUGGUAACUGGGAUG